UACGGAGGAUGCAAGCGUUAUCCGGAAUGAUUGGGCGUAAAGCGUCCGCAGGUGGCUAUGUAAGUCUGAUGUUAAAGAGUGAGGCUCAACCUCAUAAGAGCAGUGGAAACUACAUGGCUAGAGUGCGUUCGGGGCAGAGGGAAUUCCUGGUGUAGCGGUGAAAUGCGUAGAUAUCAGGAAGAACACCGGUGGCGAAAGCGCUCUGCUAGGCCGCAACUGACACUGAGGGACGAAAGCUAGGGGAGCGAAUGGG
rnacentral:rRNA from 1 species